rnacentral:rRNA from 1 species
AUUGAACGCUGGCGGCAUGCCUUACACAUGCAAGUCGAACGGCAGCACGGGAGCAAUCCUGGUGGCGAGUGGCGAACGGGUGAGUAAUGUAUCGGAACGUACCUUUCAGUGGGGGAUAACGUAGCGAAAGUUACGCUAAUACCGCAUAUUCUGUGAGCAGGAAAGCAGGGGAUCGCAAGACCUUGCGCUGAUUGAGCGGCCGAUAUCAGAUUAGCUAGUUGGUGAGGUAAAGGCUCACCAAGGCGACGAUCUGUAGCGGGUCUGAGAGGAUGAUCCGCCACACUGGAACUGAGACACGGUCCAGACUCCUACGGGAGGCAGCAGUGGGGAAUUUUGGACAAUGGGCGCAAGCCUGAUCCAGCCGAUGCCGCGUGAGUGAAGAAGGCCU